CAAUAAACCUGCACACAUAUCUAUUUAAAAAAUUAUUUCAAUUAUGUUAAUUGGUACUAUGCCAAAAGAGUUAGUAUCCAGUAAACAUUCGAGACUCGAAAGAAAAAAAAGAAGUAGAAGAAAAAAUAAAGAAAGAAAACUAGCGUCGACGAGAAAAAAAUGGCCGAGGGCUAUGGUCGUAAGGAUUUCGCAAUUACCACGUCGAUAUUCAUUAUUUCCGCAUGUAUGCUAGUUCAUUAUUACUUGAUCUUUCUCUCUCUCUCUCUCUUUUUCUCAUUUCAUACACCCUCUCUCAUUCAUACACUUUCGUGAAGUGUCAACGUGUGUAGAAAAUCUAUGUCGUGUGAAAGAUGUAAAGAAGGAGAAAAGUUAAGUGUGUUGGUGGUGGUAGUGGUGGUGGUGGUGGUGGUGGUAUGGAAGGAAGGCAGGGAGAGGAGUAUGACGAGCGUUUAAAAAAAUGUUUCCACAGUAUUCAGUCAGUCACGUCGGAGUGCAAACGCUCGCGGCUGUAGUAUCAACAUCAGCAACUCAUCUAACUACCGGCUGCCUACCUGUUUACAUACGUGAGAUUGCUUAAAGCCAAUUUGAUAUUUCAAUUGGGAAUAAUUCCAGGCUAAUCAAUUAGCCAAUUAAUUUCAUACCAAGCGUUUUCGUGGAACGGAGAUUCGCACACUUUCACGGAUAACGGCCUCGAUAGAUUACUCCGUGGAACUCGAAACCUUUUCGUAUCUCUUCCGGAAUUACUCUUACUAUGUGCAAGAAAAAGAAAGAGAGAGAGGAAGAGAGAGUAAAAAUGCUUUUUGAAGCAUCGAAGAUAUUAGAAGGGCGUAUGUAGCGAAAGAUCGGCUUUGGGCCCAAGCAAACCAAUAACAGCAAGAAGAGUUCAACGUCGUUACGAUCGUCACUAGUUUCCUAUCAAUGCAUUUCUAUCCUUUUUGAAGAGAGGAUGUUAAGCGAAGGAAAUAUCCUAUAUGGAUGCAACCGGUACAAACGAUCCCUAGAAAAAUGAUCUUUCCAAAGCUUCGAAAAGGAUUCCACACGCGUGCGUGUUGGAUUUUCUCUAAAGGGAAAAUGUGUAUUUUUUCUCUUUAAAAUGUGGAUACAAAUUCAUCUUUCAAUUAUU